rnacentral:rRNA from 1 species
AGAGUUUGAUCAUGGCUCAGAUUGAACGCUGGCGGCAGGCCUAACACAUGCAAGUCGAGCGGCAGCGGGAAAGUAGCUUGCUACUUUUGCCGGCGAGCGGCGGACAGGUGAGUAAUGCCUGGGAAAUUGCCCAGUCGAGGGGGAUAACACUUGGAAACAGGUGCUAAUACCGCAUAACAGUUUAUGCCGCAUGGCAUAAGAGUGAAAGGCGCUUUCGGGUGUCGCUGAUGGAUGGACCCGCGGUGCAUUAGCUAGUUGGUGAGGUAACGGCUCACCAAGGCCACGAUGCAUAGCCGACCUGAGAGGGUGAUCGGCCACACUGGGACUGAGACACGGCCCAGACUCCUACGGGAGGCAGCAGCGGGGAAUAUUGCACAAUGGGGGAAACCCUGAUGCAGCCAUGCCGCGUGUGUGAAGAAGGCCUUCGGGUUGUAAAGCACUUUCAGCGAGGAGGAAAGGUUGGUGCCUAAUACGUAUCAACUGUGACGUUACUCGCAGAGGAAGCACCGGCUAACUCCGUGCCAGCCGCCGCGGUAAUUC